CAGCCUUUGGAAAUAACGCUAUCUCUCUGCUACAAAUUUUUUAUACUGGAAACUGGAAUGUACAUUGGCUCAGACCCGGCAGACUGCUCUUGACAUCUGUAUGAGAAAAAGCCCAGGGAAAUUAGCAGUCAGGGCUAAGGAAGCAGGGUGGCUGGCUUGAAAAGCAGCCUUUCCCUGGAAAAAUUGGCGCUCAACGUGAUCAACUAAAUCAAUAAAAUAUAUGAAAUACAAAAGUGAGCAGGAUGUCUGGGACGAGCAAGCCGCCUUACCCAGGAACAACUGGCACUCAACGUGAUCAACUAAAUCUAUAAAAUAUAUGAACUACAAAAGAAAUACUGGAAAUCCCUGAACAUCUUCACAUCGGCUCACUCCUUCUCUGGAAUCUAGCUUGCAUGAAAAAUGCACAAAAAAAGAGUAAAGCCUGGCUGAAAGAAAUGACAAAGUGAGUAGACAGAUUCCAGGAGAAGCCAAGUAGCUGCUGCAAGAGGCAAAUGCCUCAACAGCAACCUGCCAAAACUUUUCCAGUAAGAAUAUUUGCUUUGGAAAAGAGCUUAUACUUCCUUUGCAAGGAGAAUGGAAACCUGUGGAUUUCUCAAGAUAAAUGUGAUUCAAGGGAAAAAGAUGCACUUAAAGAUCUAAAUAAACUCCUCCAAAUACUUAGCCCAAUAAACAGCAGGAAGAAGUUAGGAAACAGGAGCAGUGAAGAAGAUAUCCUAACUAAGGAAGCCAUUUUAGGGUUGGCAAGAGUCUUGGCUCUAGAGGGGUUUGCAGGUGUCCAAGAGGAUUUCUUCAGCUAGGUCUGUGGGCAGCAGAGGUGAGGGUACCUGAACUCGCCUUCUCCAAUAGCAACACUGAUGAAUAUCUUGCCUAUCACCAUAGAAACUUCAUCUGGAUAGGGAUGGAGAUGGAGACUGAGACCCAACUUGGGGCACUGAACUGAGCUCCCAGAUCCCAGAUGAAGGGCAGAA